UACGUAGGGUCCGAGCGUUGUCCGGAAUUAUUGGGCGUAAAGAGCUCGUAGGCGGUCUGUCGCGUCUGCUGUGAAAACUCAGGGCUUAACCCUGAGCUUGCAGUGGGUACGGGCAGACUAGAGUGGCGGUAGGGGAGACUGGAAUUCCUGGUGUAGCGGUGAAAUGCGCAGAUAUCAGGAGGAACACCGGUGGGCGAAGGCGGGUCUCUGGGCCGUAACUGGACGCUGGAGG
rnacentral:rRNA from 1 species